rnacentral:snoRNA from 1 species
CCAGAUCUUUGAGGCUGUGGAAUGAGCGUUGGGCACAUGGCCUGAGUAAGAUUCCAGAAACUUGGUUCACUGCCUUAGAACAGCCCUGUGGUCAGG